AUGGCUGAGGACAAGCUUCUUUGCGAGUGUUGGCGAGACAUUGGACAAGACCCCAAGACGGGCGCCGAGCAAAAGUAUUCAACCUUUUGGAUUCGUGUCCACCAAGAGUUUCAUGGGCGCAAGAAGUUCCUGUCGUACCAAUUUGUGAGCACGCGCGGGUGGGUCUCCAUUUCCAAGCGGUGGAGGGUGAUUCAACAAGAGUGCAACAAGUUUUGUGCCACUCUUGAGAGCGUCAAGGCCCGCUGUCGGUGUCAAAACCGGCGGAUCUCGGGUAGUGGGUCCCGAACUGUGCGUCUAGGCGGAUGGUAA
rnacentral:rRNA from 1 species